rnacentral:rRNA from 1 species
AUACGGAGGGUGCGAGCGUUGUUCGGAAUUAUUGGGCGUAAAGAGCAUGUAGGCGGUCUGUUAAGUCUGGUGUGAAAGCCCGGGGCUCAACCCCGGAAGUGCAUUGGAUACUGGCAGACUUGAGUAUGGGAGAGGAAAGCGGAAUUCCGAGUGUAGGAGUGAAAUCCGUAGAUAUUCGGAGGAACACCAGUGGCAAAGGCGGCUUUCUGGACCAAUACUGACGCUGAGAUGCGAAAGCGUGGGGAGCAAACAGGAUUAGAUACCCCAGUAGUCC